CCUCCUCUCAUCAGUUUGCUGUACCUCUAAAUUUACAGUGGGACAAAGAAAGAAUCAAGACUGAGGCCAUUAUUGAUUCUGGUGCUACGGGGAUAUUCAUAGAUUCUUCGUUUGUUGAAGCCAAUAAAAUUCCUUGUCUGCAAAAAACAUCUUUUGUCUCCAUCAGAGUUAUUGAUGGAUCUUUAAUCCCCUCUGGUCCCAUAAAAAUGAAACUAUUCCUAUUUUGACCACUAUCAAUAAUAAUCAUUCAGAAUUUAUUGUUUUCGAUAUUAUAAAAUCCCC